rnacentral:piRNA from 1 species
UAUGUCUUAUUCCCUCAUGGUGU